GAGCACGUAGGUGGGUUUGUAAGUCAGGUGUGAAAGCCUUCUGUUCAAAGGAAGAACGGCAUCUGAAACUGCAGAUCUUGAGUGUAGGAGGGGAGAGUGGAACUUCUGGUGGAGCGGUGAAAUGCGUAGAUAUCAGAAGGAACGUCGGCGGCGAAAGCGACUCUCUGGCCUAUUACUGACACUGAGUGUGCGAAAGUUAGGGGAGCAAACGGGAUUAGAUACCCCGGUAGUCCUAACCGUAAACGAUGGGCACUAAGUAGAGGGGUUUU
rnacentral:rRNA from 1 species